rnacentral:rRNA from 1 species
GACGAACGCUGGCGGCGUGCCUAAUACAUGCAAGUAGAACGCACAGUUUAUACCGUAGCUUGCUACACCAUAGACUGUGAGUUGCGAACGGGUGAGUAACGCGUAGGUAACCUGCCUGGUAGCGGGGGAUAACUAUUGGAAACGAUAGCUAAUACCGCAUAAUAUUAAUUAUUGCAUGAUAAUUGAUUGAAUGAUGCAACUGCAUCACUACCAGAUGGACCUGCGUUGUAUUAGCUAGUAGGUGAGGUAACGGCUCACCUAGGCGACGAUACAUAGCCGACCUGAGAGGGUGAUCGGCCACACUGGGACUGAGACACGGCCCAGACUCCUACGGGAGGCAGCAGUAGGGAAUCUUCGGCAAUGGACGAAAGUCUGACCGAGCAACGCCGCGUGAGUGAAGAAGGUUUUCGGAUCGUAAAGCUCUGUUGUAAGAGAAGAACGGGUGUGAGAGUGGAAAGUUCACACUGUGACGGUAUCUUACCAGAAAGGGACGGCUAACUACGUG